rnacentral:rRNA from 1 species
GACGAACGCUGGCGGCGUGCCUAAUACAUGCAAGUAGAACGCACAGUUUAUACCGUAGCUUGCUACACCAUAGACUGUGAGUUGCGAACGGGUGAGUAACGCGUAGGUAACCUGCCUGGUAGCGGGGGAUAACUAUUGGAAACGAUAGCUAAUACCGCAUAAUAUUAAUUAUUGCAUGAUAAUUAAUUGAAAGGUGCAAUUGCACCACUACCAGAUGGACCUGCGUUGUAUUAGCUAGUAGGGGAGGUAACGGCCCACCUAGGCGACGAUACAUAGCCGACCUGAGAGGGUGGUCGGCCACACUGGGACUGAGACACGGCCCAGACUCCUACGGGAGGCAGCAGUAGGGAAUCUUCGGCAAUGGACGAAAGUCUUACCGAGCAACGCCGCGGGAGUGAAGAAGGUUUUCGGAUCGUAAAGCUCUGUUGUAAGAGAAGAACGGGUGUGAGAGUGGAAAGUUCACACUGUGACGGUAUCUUACCAGAAAGGGACGGCUAACUACGUG